UGAGGCGGAGCAAAACACAAAACACAGUCUCAGUUCAGAUUGUAGGCUGAAACUCGCCUGUAUGAAGUCGGAAUUGCUAGUAAUCGCGGAUCAGCAUGCCGCGGUGAAUACGUUCCCGGGCCUUGUACACACCGCCCGUCACACCAUGAGAGUCGAUAACACCCGAAGCCUGUAGUCUAACAGCAAUGAGGACGCAGUCGAAGGUGGGAUUGAUAAUUAGGGUGAAGUCGUAACAAGGUACC
rnacentral:rRNA from 1 species